rnacentral:lncRNA from 1 species
UAUUUCUAACGUAAAAACAUUUUCAUAUAAUUAAUUCGUGUUAAAAAAAAAAAUUUUUUUAUGAGUACUCAUUGACGAAAUGAAUAUAUAACAAGCGAUAAGGAAGAUUAUUUUGCACUCGAUAAUAUCCGCGUAUUUAUACGAUCGGUUUCCAGUCAAAAACGAAAGUCAAAUCUCUGUGGCAACAAUACAUCGGAAUGCCCUCACGGUCAAUGAGAUGUAAACAGCGUCCAAGCGGCAAGCUGAUUAUGAUCUAAAGAUAUCGAAUUGCCAACGGG